rnacentral:rRNA from 1 species
UUUAUGGAGAGUUUGAUCCUGGCUCAGGAUGAACGCUGGCGGCGUGCCUAAUACAUGCAAGUCGAGCGAACGGACGAGAAGCUUGCUUCUCUGAUGUUAGCGGCGGACGGGUGAGUAACACGUGGAUAACCUACCUAUAAGACUGGGAUAACUUCGGGAAACCGGAGCUAAUACCGGAUAAUAUUUUGAACCGCAUGGUUCAAAAGUGAAAGACGGUCUUGCUGUCACUUAUAGAUGGAUCCGCGCUGCAUUAGCUAGUUGGUAAGGUAACGGCUUACCAAGGCAACGAUGCAUAGCCGACCUGAGAGGGUGAUCGGCCACACUGGAACUGAGACACGGUCCAGACUCCUACGGGAGGCAGCAGUAGGGAAUCUUCCGCAAUGGGCGAAAGCCUGACGGAGCAACGCCGCGUGAGUGAUGAAGGUCUUCGGAUCGUAAAACUCUGUUAUUAGGGAAGAACAUAUGUGUAAGUAACUGUGCACAUCUUGACGGUACCUAAUCAGAAAGCCACGGCUAACUACGUGCCAGCAGCCGCGGUAAUACGUAGGUGGCAAGCGUUAUCCGGAAUUAUUGGGCGUAAAGCGCGCGUAGGCGGUUUUUUAAGUCUGAUGUGAAAGCCCACGGCUCAACCGUGGAGGGUCAUUGGAAACUGGAAAACUUGAGUGCAGAAGAGGAAAGUGGAAUUCCAUGUGUAGCGGUGAAAUGCGCAGAGAUAUGGAGGAACACCAGUGGCGAAGGCGACUUUCUGGUCUGUAACUGACGCUGAUGUGCGAAAGCGUGGGGAUCAAACAGGAUUAGAUACCCUGGUAGUCCACGCCGUAAACGAUGAGUGCUAAGUGUUAGGGGGUUUCCGCCCCUUAGUGCUGCAGCUAACGCAUUAAGCACUCCGCCUGGGGAGUACGACCGCAAGGUUGAAACUCAAAGGAAUUGACGGGGACCCGCACAAGCGGUGGAGCAUGUGGUUUAAUUCGAAGCAACGCGAAGAACCUUACCAAAUCUUGACAUCCUUUGACAACUCUAGAGAUAGAGCCUUCCCCUUCGGGGGACAAAGUGACAGGUGGUGCAUGGUUGUCGUCAGCUCGUGUCGUGAGAUGUUGGGUUAAGUCCCGCAACGAGCGCAACCCUUAAGCUUAGUUGCCAUCAUUAAGUUGGGCACUCUAAGUUGACUGCCGGUGACAAACUGGAGGAAGGUGGGGAUGACGUCAAAUCAUCAUGCCCCUUAUGAUUUGGGCUACACACGUGCUACAAUGGACAAUACAAAGGGCAGCGAAACCGCGAGGUCAAGCAAAUCCCAUAAAGUUGUUCUCAGUUCGGAUUGUCUGCAACUCGACUACAUGAAGCUGGAAUCGCUAGUAAUCGUAGAUCAGCAUGCUACGGUGAAUACGUUCCCGGGUCUUGUACACACCGCCCGUCACACCACGAGAGUUUGUAACACCCGAAGCCGGUGGAGUAACCUUUUAGGAGCUAGCCGUCGAAGGUGGGACAAAUGAUUGGGGUGAAGUCGUAACAAGGUAGCCGUAUCGGAAGGUGCGGCUGGAUCACCUCCUUU